GCUGGAUCACCUCCUU
rnacentral:rRNA from 2 species